rnacentral:rRNA from 1 species
UUAAUUUGUCAGCAGAUGAUUAAUGGAUGUUUAAUAUAUGAUUGUUUUAUUUUAAUAAAAAUAAUUUAUGUUUUAGUAGGUUUUAUUGAAAAAAUUAUUAAUAUUGUUAGUGUAUAGUACCGUGAGGGAAGUUUUAGUUAUUGUGUUUUAAGUAAUUAUGAUUUAAUGUACCUUUUGUAUCAGGGUUAAUUAAAUAUUUAAUAUUGAGUAUAUAUUUCCCGAAAGUGAAGGAGAUAUGAUUAUAUGGAAUAUAACGUAUUAAAGUUAUUUUUAAUGUAAUUAUAGUAAUGAAAUGUUAUUCGUCUUUAAAUAUCUGGUUUUUUCAGAGUUGAAUUUAAUUCAGAAUUUCUUUCGAGGGAAGUUAUUUGUAUUAUUUUCUUGAGGAAGUUUAGUAUCUUUGGGGAUAAGCUUGAAGAUAAUUUUAUAAUUUUAUUUAAGGUAAGGUUUCGUAGGCUUGAAAUUAGCCGUCAUUAAUUCUGUUAUAAGAGAGCCUUGUUGGUAUUUUAUUUUGUAUUUUAUUUAAAUUUUUAUGAAAAUUAUGGAGUUAAUUAUGUAAUUUAUGUAAUAAUGAUUAAAUUAGUAUUUUUAUAAAUAAGUUAUAGGAACUCGGCAAUUCAAGUGUUCGCCUGUUUAACAAAAACAUGUCCUUUUGUGUUUAUUUAAGGUUUGACCUGCCCAAUGAGGAGUUUAAUGGCCGCGGUAUUUUAACUGUGCUAAGGUAGCAUAAUCACUUGUCUUUUAAUUGGAGGCUAGAAUGAAUGGUUGGACGAGGCACUUACUUUCUUUAGCUUAUAGUAUGAAUUUAAUUUUUUAGUUAAAAAGCUAAAAUUUAUUUAAGGGACGAGAAGACCCUAUAGAUCUUUAUAUUUGUUAAGAUUAAAUAUUUUAGUUGUUAAUUUAAUUUGAUUUUAUUUUUUAUUGAGUUGGGGCGACUUUAGAAUUUCAUUAACUUCUUUUUUAAUAUUCAUGAAUUAGUGUGUAAAUGAUCCAAAGUAUUUUGAUUAUAAGUUUAAGUUACCUUAGGGAUAACAGCGUAAUUCUUUCGGAGAGUUCAUAUCGAUGAUGGAGUUUGCGACCUCGAUGUUGGAUUAAAAUAAGUAAUGGAUGUAGCAGUUCAUUUACUAGGUCUGUUCGACCUUUAAAGUUUUACAUGAUCUGAGUUCAGACCGGCGUAAGCCAGGUCAGUUUCUAUCUUUAAAAAGAUAUUAUGUUCUAGUACGAAAGGACCGAAUAUAAGGAAUAUUUUUUGUUUAUUGAGUAAAAAUUU